CCCCUCUCAGGAUGGCACCUGGAGAGUUUCCAGUACUCUACCAGUCUUGGCUAAGGGAGGGAGAGUCAAGCAGAGGCAUACCCAUUCCAUUCCUAGUGGGGCCAGUGGCUAGUGAGUGGCAGGCAAUCUGCUACAAGA